rnacentral:rRNA from 1 species
UUGGAGGGCAAGUCUGGUGCCAGCAGCCGCGGUAAUUCCAGCUCCAAUAGCGUAUAUUAAAGUUGUUGAGGUUAAAAAGCUCGUAGUUGAACCUUGGGCCUAGCCGGCCGGUCCGCCUCACCGCGUGCACUGGCUCGGCUGGGUCUUUCCUUCUGGAGAACCGCAUGCCCUUCACUGGGUGUGCCGGGGAACCAGGACUUUUACNCUGAACAAAUUAGAUCGCUUAAAGAAGGCCUAUGCUCGAAUACAUUAGCAUGGAAUAAUAGAAUAGG